CGGCCAACGUCCCCACUCUCCUCCAGUCAUCAACGGAUGGAGGGAAUUUGGCUGGAACCCUGAUGCUUAAUCCGUACCUCCCGACCACAGCUGGGGCCCUUGCCUUGCGAGGUGCAUCGUGUACGCACCCUGUGGAUCCCAAUCCCUGUGAACCACAGCGGCCUCCACAACGUGUUUCUCGGGGGAAAAGAGAAGAAAGACAGAAAGAACAGGGCAGUACUGACUAAGGAGCAGUGGAAGGAGCGCAAAAUACUUUCCAGUUCCUGUGUCCUGGCAGCCCCAGUGUCAGACCCAAACACUGCCCCCCAGACAUCUCCCACCACACCCCCUCCCCGCCAAAAAAAAAAGGCUGCAUGCAGGGAUACAAAUGACCCAACCCUUCAUCUGUUUUCCAGUAGGAAGCCUGCAGUCCUACCCCAGUGCAGGGCUGUUCUGCAGCACAUGACUUCUUCAGUGUACCCUCCUGCUCUUAUUUACUUCCAUGUGACACACCUCAUACUCCUCACCGGUACGAGGAGUCGCUAACGCUACGGAGACUCCGUCGCAUGGCUGAUCUGCUCCAAAGCCAGGGCACGCUCGACAGUGCACUCCGCAUGCGCCCGUCUCACUCCAGGGAUGGAUGCCAGGGACGUUGCCAUGGUGUCCUUCGUUGGCUCGAAACCAUGGCAACCGUGCCUGCGGAAUCCUAGGGGGAAGCUACGAGUGAGCCGCAGUGACUGCGGGGGGGGGGUAGCAGACGGCACGUCACCAUGCUGGUUUGCGGAAACGAUGCACAGUCAGCAGACAAUGCAGGGAAUCAUAUCCUGCGAGCUGUGAAUGCAGUGUUGUGAUCUGGGGAGGUUGCACGCUAAAGGUCCAAUAUGUAGGCCACGAUAUGCUAGGUGCGCUAUCUUUAAACAGACACGGGUUGGUUUUCCGUGGAACACGAGUAUGCCAGACUAAUGCGCUGGCAAUUUAAGAGCGUUUGUGGCUAAUAACUGAAUUUCCCAGUCCUGUCUCUUAAUACUGAUUGUCUGUUCCUCCACUGGGGAAAGACUCCUAUUCCACUCGGCUCGGCUGUAAAAACAAAACGCAGCUGCCCCAUUGCAAACCCCAGACCACAUACAGAGAUCUAAUUCUGGAGGCCUUCACGGUUUUCCUCAACUGUUUAUACACAGGAACAGGUCCUCCAGACAUAACGAUUAAAAGCUGAAGCUCAUGUGUUAAACGACUCAAAUCUUUUGCCAAAACUGUGAGCAUAUUAUGAAUGGCACUCAAACUGCAGUUCAAGUUCAUGCUUUUGCAAGUACUUCACAAGUAUCUCCGAGACUCAAACACAGUUUAGCUAAGCCUCUUGUACUCACUUGGAAAAAUACUUCUGAAAAUAUCUAAACACAAUCGGCGAUAUCAAUAACAAUUUUUCUUAUUUUAUGACCUAAGAAGAAAAAAAACAUGUUUCUGACAGGUUUAUUGUUAGAAGUAUUUCUUACUCCAAUUAUUUGUAAAUACUGUAGCAUAUGGAAUAUUAUUUUGAACAACUGGCAAAUUUUUAUAACAACAAUAAUAAUAAGGCCAUUUUAAUGCAUAUACACUGAUGCAUUCCAAAGAUAUGCCAGAGAAUAUAUAUAUUUUUAAAUCUUUUGUCCAGUCAGCACAUAAAACCAGAGACCCUUGUUGAAUUGUAGUCAGGAAUGUGGGGACAGGAUUUUCUUCUCUGUAUUUUGAAGUGACUCCAAAGUUUGGGGAAGGAGGACACAGUGGAGCCGUUCCACCAUGCAGUGCGUGUGGCCCACAGUCAGCUGUCACAGCUGAUUCUUUUUAAACGCCAGGUCAGAUCUUCCCAUAGCAGAACAGGGUAGUAUUUCACGAAGCAGGGUCACUGAGUUAGCUGGAUAACUGCGCUGAGAAAAACCCGGAACAGCUCUUAAAACUUUGGUCCAUGUUCCAGAUUUGGGAAGGUUCCGGGUUUUACUUGGUGCCAUUGCCCAGCUAACUCUUUAUCUUUAGCUAGCAGCUUUAUCUCUGCAUCUGUGUCCCAGUUGCGGCUAAGCUAAUGCAGGAUUUCUGACUUGCCACUAAGACUUACUGAUUCUCUCUGCCCUGCUCAGAACCCGGUCCUCUAUCCACACAGCUGCCCAAGGCUUUGAGAAGAGCGGCCGAGGUGGGAGGAGCUUGAGACAGAGCCUUCACCUGGAGGCCGUGGUGGGAGGAGCUUGAGACAGAGCCUUCGCCUGGGUGCCGUGGUGGGAGGAGCUUGAGACAGAGCCUCCACCUGGGGGCCGUGGUGGGAGGAGCUUAAGACAGAGCCUUCGCCUGGGUGCCGUGGUGGGAGGAGCUUGAGACAGAGCCUCCACCUGGGUGCCGUGGUGGGAGGAGCUUAAGACAGAGCCUUCGCCUGGGUGCCGUGGUGGGAGGAGCUUAAGACAGAGCCUUCGCCUGGGUGCCGUGGUGGGAGGAGCUUGAGACAGAGCCGUCACCUGCAUGCUAAAUAAAGGUUAAUUAAAGGCAGGUAACCACUGCAGGCUUGUCCCCAGCCUCCAAGAUAACUAAAGUGUAUAAACCUGGCACAGCCCUGCCUGUGGUAAACAUUGUAAAUUCAAGCUCCUCUCCAGGCCAAAUGCAAAAAAUAAAUAAAUAAAUAAAAGAAUGUAGCAGACGUAAACACAAAUAAUCCUUUAGAUACCCAUUUCAGCACACAAUAGUUGUUUUACAACCGCUGCCUGAAACAUUAAAAAAUGAGAAUAAUCCUCAUUCUGUUAAAAAAAUGUGGUGGUUAGCGAUGAUUUCCAGGUCUUGUUGAACUCGCACUUGAACUGAAAGGCCUGGAAAAACGAGGGCGCAGACGAAACUGCCACACAGCACGUUUCCGCGCCAAACCAAGCAGCGCUGGCUCCCGGGCGCGGGGCUGCUGAUGGUCCCGUUCCACGAAAAAACUGAGCUGUUGGCAGGCCCGAGGUCCGGUUUUUAUUUAUUUCCAGUGGAACGGCUACGCAGCUACGCCGAGCCUGUCUCCGGUGCGCCGCUCUGGCCAGAAACCCCGGCUAGCAACAACAGCGGAGAACCCAGAGAGCGCCGGUCAGCGGGACCCGCCGCGGGGGCUCCUGGAACACGCUCUGGCGCGCGGCCGUCCGCUGCUCCCGUGCGUUUCGGCUGGAGGUGAGCGAGGCGGACGAGCGACUCCCACUUCGCCUGAUUGCUAACGCAUGUGGGGCUGGCCCCGCCUGCCAAAAAAAGUCCAUGGAACCGGUCUAAAAUUUACAAUACAGUGAGGUACCGGCUGGAGGAAGCGCUUCCAGAUGUUUCGUGCCCUGAUUUCGAACAUAAUGCAUCACCUGAGCUCAGAACUGCAGAUUCUACCAGGUAUGGCCCCUGGGGACAGACGGGAGCACAAAGUAAAACCUGAUCAGGACAACAAAGAAUGUUGUCGACGGCAGCUAGGGCAUUUGCCGUUGAAGUGAAAAAUUAUUUAACUUUUUACCACGAUAUUCAAUGGAAUUGUGUUGUGUCCGGAUAUGACACAACACAACACAUGGAAAACGAGAAAUUAACUUCAACGACAAGUACCGUCUGCCGCUGCCAUGGACGGCAUUCCUUGCCCCUAAUCAUGCCCCUCACCGCUAUACUUGUCCACUACGGUUUGCCAUCUACCGUGAUCCGUGUGAUCGCAGCAUUAGUAGUUCUUCAUCUUCACCCAAUGUUAAAGUAUUUCCUGAAAAGUGAUCAUCCAAGGUAACAGUACCCCCAUCCACAGAGCAUGAGUUGCUCAAUGGGGUGAGGAGGUCGACAUACAUAUGUAGAUAUGAAACCUAAACCUGGCUGAGCAUAUGAUUUCCAGUAGCAGGAGUUGAGUGACUUUCGCCUGGAAGAGUGGUGUCAGCACCAGAAGAGUUCCACAUGCUGGUUGCCCCUACGUCCUGAACCAUACAAGCAGUACUGGCCACGUGUGGUGGCCUAAUACUCUGGUCUACUGACUGUGUAUUGGUUUCAAUUUUUUGUUCACUUCCAAUAAUCUGGUAUCCUCUAGUUCUAAAACAUUUUCCACAUAUCUCUACUGCCAUCUGGUGGUGAUGUGGCACACAUGCAGAUUAUUCCCAAUGAAGGAUUGCUCCAGUGUUGCAAAGUAUUUUACAGAUGUCCUGAAUUAUGUAUUACGUCUCGGAUGUUAUUUAUGUCUAGAAUGUAUGUCCUCACGAGGAGACAAAUUUCCAAAAAAAAAAUAUGGAUGAUAAAGUCUAAUUAGAUUAGUACAAAAAAAUAAAAUAAAAAUCUAACGCUCAAAACCAAGUGUGGCAUGGUAAUGCAGCGAAUAACGCUGUCGCCUCGCAGCAAGAAGGCACCGAGUUGGAGUCCUGACCGAGGGCCUUUCUGUGUAGCGUUUGCACUGUCUGGCAGAUAAUGACCGACAGUAAUAUUCCAGCACUGUCACAUGCUGCAGAUUCCUUCCUCUCGUCCAGCCUAGGCCAUUACAGCAGCCAAUCGCUUUCACGAGGGAUCAGUUAGUCAGGUGAUCGCCACAGUCUAAUGCCUACAGUGACCCCGAGAGGAUUCAGAUGGUACUGCACAGUGAUUUUGGGUCAUGUGCCCUAGUUGUAGAUGAACUGCUGUUCCUAAUUAUAAUUUAAUGAGUCGGAAAGUCCUUGCACGUCCUGAAGGGCUUCAUUAUGAUUCUGUGAUUACUGUAUAUGCAGGAAUAUCAGCUGCCUCUCCGUUUCAUACAGCAUAUAAACAGCUAAUUCGGAAAAUGACAAAUCAAGUUAAGGACUAUUAUCCAGAAGACUGCAUUCAAAUGUCCUUCAUAGUCUCAAUCACGUGCUAUUGUAAUAUUUAACACCC